UUGAACGCUGGCGGCAUGCCUUACACAUGCAAGUCGAACGGUAGAGGGGCAACCCUUGAGAGUGGCGAACGGGUGAGUAAUAUAUCGGAACGUGCCCAGUCGUGGGGGAUAACGCAGCGAAAGCUGCGCUAACACCGCAUACGAUCUAUGGAUGAAAGCGGGGGAUCGCAAAGACCUCGCGCGAUUGGAGCGGCCGAUAUCAGAUUAGGUAGUUGGUGGGGUAAAAGCCCCACCAAGCCGACGAUCUGUAGCUG
rnacentral:rRNA from 1 species